UAUGUCCUUAGCACGCGUGUU
rnacentral:piRNA from 1 species